UACAGAGGUCCCAAGCGUCGUUCGGAUUCACUGGGCGUAAAGGGUGCGUAGGCGGUCGGGUAAGUCUGAUGUGAAAUCUCACAGCUUAACUGUGAAACUGCAUUGGAUACUAUUCGGCUUGAGAGUUGGAGGGGGGACUGGAAUUCUUGGUGUAGCAGUGAAAUGCGUAGAUAUCAAGAGGAACACCAGUGGCGAAGGCGAGUCCCUGGACAGGUCCUGACGCUGAGGCACGAAAGCUAGGGGAGCAAACAGG
rnacentral:rRNA from 1 species